GCGCCCAGGGAACCGGCGGAGGCGAUGACCGUGACGGCUGGGUUGGGACCGGAACGCCGAAGCGGGGUUGGGGGUGGCAGAAAAGCAUCUGCUUUGUAAGACCUACACGAGGUGCAGGAGUGGUUGGGCCUCCCCUCUCCACUUAAGCAAGCGCCCAGACUGAUGGCGAUGGUGAUGGCAGCAGUUACUCGCACAACCCCAGUUAAGCUGCGCUCCGGGAGUUCAUCUGUUGUCUGCUCUCCAGUGACUUCCGUUUGUGGAGCCUAAGUGUUUCUACAGAAUCCAACUCAAAUAUCAAGGACUAUGAUCAGAAUGCUUUCAAGGAGUUUUUGGGCACAUGAUGGCAGAUACAUCCAGAAAGUGCCCAGAAGAAACUUCCUGCUG
rnacentral:lncRNA from 1 species